rnacentral:rRNA from 1 species
AGUGAACGCUGGCGGUAGGCCUAACACAUGCAAGUCGAACGGCAGCACAUUAAGAGCUUGCUCUUACGGGUGGCGAGUGGAGGACGGGUGAGGAAUACAUCGGAAUCUACUUUUUCGUGGGGGAUAACGUAGGGAACGUUACGCUAAUACCGCCUUCUACUUACGGGUGAAAGCAGGGGAUCUUCGGCCCUUGCGGGAUUCAAUGAGCCGAUGUCGGAUUAGCUAGUUGGCGGGGUAAAGGCCCACCAAGGCGACGAUCCAUAGCUGGUCUGAGAGGUUGAUCGGCCAAACUGGAACUGAGACACGGUCCAGACUCCUACGGGAGGCAGCAGUGGGGAAUAUUGGACAAUGGGCGCAAUCCGGAUCCAGCCAUCCCGCGUGGGUGAAGAAGGCCUUCGGGUUGUAAAGCCCUUUUGUUGGGAAAGAAAAGCAGCAGGUUAAUACCCCGCUGUUCUGACGGUACCCAAAGAAUAAGCACCGGCUAACUUCGUG